rnacentral:rRNA from 1 species
GAUGAACGCUGGCGGCGUGCCUAAUACAUGCAAGUCGAGCGAACGGACGAGAAGCUUGCUUCUCUGAUGUUAGCGGCGGACGGGUGAGUAACACGUGGAUAACCUACCUAUAAGACUGGGAUAACUUCGGGAAACCGGAGCUAAUACCGGAUAAUAUUUUGAACCGCAUGGUUCAAAAGUGAAAGACGGUCUUGCUGUCACUUAUAGAUGGAUCCGCGCUGCAUUAGCUAGUUGGUAAGGUAACGGCUUACCAAGGCAACGAUGCAUAGCCGACCUGAGAGGGUGAUCGGCCACACUGGAACUGAGACACGGUCCAGACUCCUACGGGAGGCAGCAGUAGGGAAUCUUCCGCAAUGGGCGAAAGCCUGACGGAGCAACGCCGCGUGAGUGAUGAAGGUCUUCGGAUCGUAAAACUCUGUUAUUAGGGAAGAACAUAUGUGUAAGUAACUGUGCACAUCUUGACGGUACCUAAUCAGAAAGCCACGGCUAACUACGUGCCAGCAGCCGCGGUAAUACGUAGGUGGCAAGCGUUAUCCGGAAUUAUUGGGCGUAAGGGCGCGCGUAGGCGGUUUUUUAAGUCUGAUGUGAAAGCCCACGGCUCAACCGUGGAGGGUCAUUGGAAACUGGAAAACUUGAGUGCAGAAGAGGAAAGUGGAAUUCCAUGUGUAGCGGUGAAAUGCGCAGAGAUAUGGAGGAACACCAGUGGCGAAGGCGACUUUCUGGUCUGUAACUGACGCUGAUGUGCGAAAGCGUGGGGAUCAAACAGGAUUAGAUACCCUGGUAGUCCACGCCGUAAACGAUGAGUGCUAAGUGUUAGGGGGUUUCCGCCCCUUAGUGCUGCAGCUAACGCAUUAAGCACUCCGCCUGGGGAGUACGACCGCAAGGUUGAAACUCAAAGGAAUUGACGGGGACCCGCACAAGCGGUGGAGCAUGUGGUUUAAUUCGAAGCAACGCGAAGAACCUUACCAAAUCUUGACAUCCUUUGACAACUCUAGAGAUAGAGCCUUCCCCUUCGGGGGACAAAGUGACAGGUGGUGCAUGGUUGUCGUCAGCUCGUGUCGUGAGGUGUUGGGUUAAGUCCCGCAACGAGCGCAACCCUUAAGCUUAGUUGCCAUCAUUAAGUUGGGCACUCUAAGUUGACUGCCGGUGACAAACCGGAGGAAGGUGGGGAUGACGUCAAAUCAUCAUGCCCCUUAUGAUUUGGGCUACACACGUGCUACAAUGGACAAUACAAAGGGCAGCGAAACCGCGAGGUCAAGCAAAUCCCAUAAAGUUGUUCUCAGUUCGGAUUGUAGUCUGCAACUCGACUACAUGAAGCUGGAAUCGCUAGUAAUCGUAGAUCAGCAUGCUACGGUGAAUACGUUCCCGGGUCU